CCUACGGGAGGCAGCAGUGAGGAAUAUUGGUCAAUGGUCGGGAGACUGAACCAGCCAAGCCGCGUGAGGGAGGAAGGUACAGAGUAUCGUAAACCUCUUUUGUCAGGGAACAAAGGCGGGGACGUGUCCCCGGAUGAGUGUACCUGAAGAAAAAGCAUCGGCUAACUCCGUGCCAGCAGCCGCGGUAAUACGGAGGAUGCGAGCGUUAUCCGGAUUUAUUGGGUUAAAAGGGUGCGCAGGCGGUCUGUUAAGUCAGCGGGCAAAGCCCGGGGCUCAACCCCGGCCCGCCGUUGAAACUGGCAGUCUCGAGUUGGAGAGAAGUAUGCGGAAUGCGCGGUGUAGCGGUGAAAUGCAUAGAUAUCGCGCAGAACUCCGAUUGCGAAGGCAGCAUGCCGGCUCCACACUGACGCUGAGGCACGAAAGCGUGGGUAUCGAACAGGAUUAGAUACCCUUGUAGUC
rnacentral:rRNA from 1 species